rnacentral:lncRNA from 10 species
UUUAGCCUCUUAAUCUCAGGAUUUGGACUAAAUAUUAUACAAAAUUUAUAAUGUUAACCUUUUGUUAUAAUAAUUUGUAAAUUUCUAUAAAUUAUAUUUUCUCUAGUUAAGUAUUACAUCUUUUAAUGAAAACUUUUGAAUAUUGGUUAAUUUUUGUCCUCAAUAUUAGAACAAAUGUAAUCUAGAAAAUUGACAUUAAUAUAUCAAAAACUAAUCUGUCUUAUAAGAUUACUGAGAAAGUAAUGAACACUGUCACCUUGGUUGUCAUGUGGUGAACUGCAUGUAUUGGUUAAUAAUAAUCAUACAUUUUCAGUCUUGAUUUGACAAAAGCAACAAAGUAUCUUUUCUCUCAAUAUAGGAAAGAAUUAUUCCAUAUUUAUUACGACUGAGACAAAUUAAGGAUGAAACUCUUCAGGCUGCAGUUAGAGAAAUUUUGGCCCUAAUUGGCUAUGUGGAUCCAGUGAAAGGGAGAGGAAUCCGAAUUCUCUCAAUUGAUGGUGGAGGAACAAGGGGCGUGGUUGCUCUCCAGACCCUACGAAAAUUAGUUGAACUUACUCAGAAGCCAGUUCAUCAGCUCUUUGAUUACAUUUGUGGUGUAAGCACAGGUAAUUAUUAUUAUAUGGAAGUGGUGCAUUCUGGCAGUACAUUAAGGAAAAGAACAUUAAGCACUUAUGUUUAAGAUCAUAGUCCUUUGCCUUCUUCAGCCCUCUCUCCAUACCCCAAAAUUUUGUACUUCCUUUUUUGUCUUUUGUUCAUGGUUAUGCCAGUUAGGCACACUAGGUGGCAGUGUGUCCUACCUAUUAUAGCUAGAUAUGGAAUCAGCUGUUUAAAAGGACAUCCAAGAGUACCUAAUAUGUUUAAUUACAUUGGUUCCUAGGACUAACUUGAAGGAGAAUUGCUUAGUGAUUUGGUGAGUUGUCAAAUAUACCAUAUUCUGUGACUAAAACUAAGUAAUUCAUUGAUGUUAGAAAGAACGUGAAUUAUCUACCAUAGUAUCUUAUAUAUAAUUUAAUGUAAAACAACACAUUUGUAAAUAUUUUUAAAUUAUUAUUAUUAUCAUUAUUG